rnacentral:rRNA from 1 species
GAAUAUGGGACAAUGGGCGAAAGCCUGAUCCAGCCAUCCCGCGUGUGUGAAGAUGGUCUUCGGAUUGUAAAGCACUUUCAGUUGGGAGGAAGGGCAGUAAGUUAAUACCUUGCUGUUUUGACGUUACCGACCGACUAAGCACUGCCUACCUCUGUGCCAGCAGCCGCGGUAAAACAGAGGGUGCAAGCGUUAAUCGGAAUUACUGGGCGUAAAGCGCGCGUAGGUGGUUAGGUAAGUUGGAAGUGAAAGCCCCGGGCUCAACCUGGGAACUGCUUUCAAAAAUGGCAAGCUAGAGUAUGGCAGAGGGUGGUGGAAUUUCCUGUGUAGCGGUGAAAUGCGUAGAUAUAGGAAGGAACACCAGUGGCGAAGGCGACUACCUGGACUGAUACUGACACUGAGGUGCGAAAGCGUGGGGAGCAAAC